CCGCUGAUCCGGGUCCCUCUGGUGAGCGCUGCCGGCACGCUCGCGAUGUCGGAUCGUCUUC
rfam:Kaistia sp. SCN 65-12 ABS35_C0463, whole genome shotgun sequence.